rnacentral:rRNA from 1 species
ACGCUAGCUAUAGGCUUAACACAUGCAAGUCGAGGGGAAACGGCAUUAUGUGCUUGCACAUUUUGGACGUCGACCGGCGCACGGGUGAGUAUCGCGUAUCCAACCUGCCCUUUACUUGGGGAUACCCCGUUGAAAGACGGCCUAAUACCCGAUGUAAUUCAUUGAUGGCAUCAGAUAUGAAUAAAAGAUUUAUCGGUAAAGGAUGGGGAUGCGUCUGAUUAGCUUGUUGGUGAGGUAACGGCUCACCAAGGCAACGAUCAGUAGGGGUUCUGAGAGGAAGGUCCCCCACAUUGGAACUGAGACACGGUCCAAACUCCUACGGGAGGCAGCAGUGAGGAAUAUUGGUCAAUGGGCGCAAGCCUGAACCAGCCAAGUAGCGUGCAGGAAGACGGCCCUAUGGGUUGUAAACUGCUUUUAUACGAGAAUAAUUUGAUGCACGUGUGCGUUAUUGCAUGUAUCGUAUGAAUAAGGACCGGCUAAUUCUGUGCCAGCAGCCGCGGUAAUACGGAAGGUCCAGGCGUUAUCCGGAUUUAUUGGAUUUAAAGGGAGUGUAGGCGGUUUGUUAAGCGUGUUGUGAAAUUUAGGUGCUCAACAUUUAACUUGCAGCGCGAACUGUCAGACUUGAGUACACGCAACGUAUGCGGAAUUCAUGGUGUAGCGGUGAAAUGCUUAGAUAUCAUGAAGAACUCCGAUUGCGAAGGCAGCAUACGGGAGUGUAACUGACGCUUAAGCUCGAAGGUGCGGGUAUCGAACAGGAUUAGAUACCCUGGUAGUCCGCACAGUAAACGAUGGAUGCCCGCUGUUAGCGCCUGGCGUUAGCGGCUAAGCGAAAGCAUUAAGCAUCCCACCUGGGGAGUACGCCGGCAACGGUGAAACUCAAAGGAAUUGACGGGGGCCCGCACAAGCGAGGAACAUGUGGUU